AAAAUUACUUAAUAUUUUUAUCACAUUGAUUAUAUGCAAAAAUUAAAUUAUUUUGGAACUAUCGAAAUAUCCUAUAAUAUCAUAUCAUUAUCAGCAUACUAAGAUGAAAACUCAACUAGCAAUUAAUUUCACCGAAUUGCUGACUUUGCAAGAACUCUCUGAGAGCAAGAAUGAACAUGUCGAGACGAAAGAACCAUGAAGGUAAAGUGAAAGAAGGCCAAGGGAACGAAGAUGACGAAGGACAAAAGCGACCAAAGGAAGGUUCAGAACGAGCUUGCGCUGUGUGACCGACACGUAUAAAUAAAGAGUUGGAUAGCUGCGAGGUUGCCAGAUUUCAGUAAUAUUGAUCGACAAAGUCGACGCGGUCGCCAACUGGGGUCACGAAAAGAAACAUGGCAACAUUGUCCCGUUGCCAGCUGAUCGAGCUCUCGUUAGGUUUGCUCAACGGUCGACCGUAUCUCUAUUUCUUCAAGUUUGUAUGAAUUUUUGUCAUUAUGUAUGUCAUUUUUGUAUGAAUCUCCCUUUAUUUUCCUCUUGUAAUUAACAAAAACAUUUAUUGUCUUUAUUAUUUUUUAUUUAUUUAUCAUCAUUUUUUAAAGUUUUUUCUUUUUUUUUCUUUUUUAUUAUGUCCAAUGAAUUCUGUUUUUGUAUAAAUAUAAGAAAAAUGCUUUCUUCUAUUUUAUAACUACACACGUGAUGUUAUGAUAUGUAAUGAUAUUAUGCAAUAAAGAAAAUUUCAUUGCGCUAAA